rnacentral:pre_miRNA from 1 species
CGGGGGAGGCCGGAUCCUGGGCUGUGUCCCGGCGCCCUGGGCUCCCGGGGCCUGCGCAGUUGGAUUUGCGCUCCCGCCCCGCAGCCCCCU